rnacentral:sRNA from 1 species
GCCAGGUAUGGUGGUGCACGCCUGUAAUCCCAGCAGCUCGGGAGGCUGAGGCAGGAGGAUCUCAAGUUCAAACCCAGCCUCAG